CUGCCACGUGUCGAGCCUUUAACACAACACCUUUAAAAAUCCCUCUGGCUUCGCAAUACUCCUCCGUCUGCUUCGCCGUCUCCUCGUCGUGACUAGUCAUCCCCGUGACCCCGUCGCCACAGCGAACGGUGCGACGCCGUUUAUUCUAAUCCCAUGUUUCCCUAAAUCACCACAAACCUAUUUAAUCAGUCCGACGAGCCCAUGCUUCGACGCCGUGUAUUCAUGAGGUCCCUGACCACGAUCUCCGACGUAACACUGGUCGUACAAACGAUGGAGCCACGUGUGCCUUUCUCCACCAUGGCUCGUGCGGCGUGUUUGAUAGACACAGCCGCUCCACGAACGUUGACAGCCAUUGUUCGGUGAAACCGUUCAAGAUUCAAAUCAAGGAUGCUUCCCGGUGUUUCCAAGACGCCGGGUUGGCUGAAAAGAACGACGCCGGCGUUACUUAACAGAACGUCUAGCUUCCCAUGUUUUUCGACGGUGAACUUAAUGACGCGUCCUCUACUUCCGUCUCGUUUGUAACAUCACAACGGUUGGGAGCCAAGGUGCAGGGGCUUCCUUUGUUUGUCUUGGGCUUGUUUGGCCUGCUUCAGGUUUUCAGUAUUUGGCUCUUUUGUUGUUGGGCCCUCUCUGUGUUGUUUGGGCCUUUGUUUUUAUGUCUCUUUCGGCCUGCGUGCUGUGCUGGACCGUUUGGUCUUGUAACGUUUUUCGGAUUAUUGG